AGCCAAGUCGCGUGAGGGAAGACGGCCCUACGGGUUGUAAACCUCUUUUGCCGGGGAGCAAAGGCGGUCACUGGUGACCGGAUGAGAGUACCCGGAGAAAAGCAUCGGCUAACUCCGUGCC
rnacentral:rRNA from 1 species